rnacentral:rRNA from 1 species
GACGAACGCUGGCGGCGUGCUUAACACAUGCAAGUCGAACGAGACGAUUGAAAGCUUGCUUUCGAAAGUCGAGUGGCAAACGGGUGAGUAACGCGUAGACAACCUGCCUUUGAGAUGGGGACAACAGUUAGAAAGGACUGCUAAUACCGAAGGUUGUAUAUUUUCCACAUGGAAGAUCUAUUAAAGAUGGCCUCUAUUUAUAAGCUAUCGCUCAAAGAUGGGUCUGGGUCUGCUUAGCUGGUUGGUGGGGUAACGGCCUACCAAGGCGACGAUCAGUAGCCGGUCUGUGAGGAUGAACGGCCACAUUGGGACUGAGACACGGCCCAGACUCCUACGGGAGGCAGCAGUGGGGAAUCUUCCACAAUGGACGAAAGUCUGAUGGAGCAACGCCGCGUGAGUGAAGAAGGGUUUCGGCUCGUAAAGCUCUGUUGUCGGGGACGAAUGUGCAGUAUUUGAAUAAAGUACUGUAAUGACGGUACCUGACGAGGAAGCCACGGCUAACUACGUGCCAGCCGCCGCGGUAA